rnacentral:rRNA from 1 species
UACGAAGGGGGCUAGCGUUGUUCGGAAUUACUGGGCGUAAAGCGUGCGCAGGCGGCUUCUCAAGUCAGGGGUGAAAGCCCAGAGCUUAACUCUGGAAUUGCCUUUGAGACUGAGAGGCUUGAGUACGGGAGAGGUGAGUGGAAUUCCCAGUGUAGAGGUGAAAUUCGUAGAUAUUGGGAAGAACACCGGUGGCGAAGGCGGCUCACUGGACCGGAACUGACGCUGAGGCGCGAAAGCGUGGGGAGCAAACAGG